AAAUAAAAGAGCAUCUCUGCAGGUCACAGUUCAGCACCUCUAGCCACCUCAGUGAUUCCCGCUACGUACAGUCGCUGCUGUCAUCACCCCAGGGUCACUUCAGACAUUAAAAAGAACCCAGCACAAAUAGGCCUCCUCCCCAGGACGUCUCCCUAACUGACUGUUCCCUGUCUUUUUUUAUUUACCUCUCGUGUUUUAAUUACUGAUCACAAAAAAGUGUGCUUUGGUAAUUAGCUGAUUCCGCUUGCACUUGGCAUUUGCAAUAGAAAUCAUUGGUUUGCUCAUCUACCUUUACUCGUAUUGAUUAUAAAUGGGCUGUCUGUGCCCUGAUAUUUAUAUAGAACUUUUGUAUUCCUGAGAGUGGGAUAUGCUGUUGUGCCUAACU